UGUUUAUCAUAUCUUCCCCAGCCGCUUCUGUCUCUCGCUUCAAACUGCAGUCCGUCGACCUCAGGUUUGAUCCUCUCUGUCUUAUUCUCGUCCAGCAGGUUCUAGCCGCUUCUCUCUCUCGUUUCGAACUGCAGACCGGCGACCUCGACGUGGAACGGCGGGUGGCAGCGGCGAGGCAGCGACUGUAUCUCGUUCUCGUCCAAGUUCGUCUCUGUCACUCAUUCCUUCUCGUCCAGCGGAGGUGAGGCAACGGAUUUAGAGAUCGAAGGCGGUGGUAGUUGUGGCGGCGAGGCAGUAGCGGCAGCGGAUCUGGAGAUCGAAGGCUGUGGCAGUUGCGGCCAGCGGAUCGACGGCAAUCCCAGGCGGUGGCAGCUGCGUUGGCGGCGUAGGCGAGGCAAUCCUGGCGGUGGCAAGGCAGUAGCGACGGGGCAAUAGCGGCGGUGGCUGGAGUCGGCGAACGUGCGAUGGCUGGAGAUGGCGGUCUGUUUUCUUCUUCCCGGUGGUGGCAGCGGCAUGUAGUGUUCUGAAAAUUAGAGACCAUGUUGCCGUGCCUAGACGGAAUAAAGCAUUUGUUUACUUCUGUUGCAAUUUGCUAUGAUACUGAUUUGUCUAAGCAGCCCCGAGGUCUACAAAAUCCUGAAGCUCUUGCAAGGGAGAUAAUAUGUGGGUGUUGGAGAUCAUGUUCAUGCUUUCAAGAAUUUGAUUUUGCUAGACUUCCUCAACCAAAAAAAGCUACUUUUAGACUUUUGUUACGUAAUUGCAAUUUUGAUUUUAUAGUAUUGUGUUUAGAUGAUAAAUAUUAUUG